UUUUUUGCUUCUAUUUUAGUAGUUAUUGAGAGAUAGUAGAAACUUAGAAAGGGAAAUUGAAACCAUGGUCAGUAAGAAUUAUACACUAGCUCUCUAGUUCUACUUCUAAAGUUAGGGGACAACCACUUCCUCUCUGGGAGAUCAGGAAAAGAAAGAGCUGUGUCUUACUACAGCUUGGUUAUUACUGUUAUCUUCAUUAUUUGAGAAACGCUAUUAAACCAAGGAGAUACAUGAGAGCGACAAGCUUCAGGUGAGACUCUGGAUCUUUAGUGAUUAUCACAGCCAACACAGCAAGAUGUUCCUGCUUGUUGAUCAAACCCUAGAGAGAGCAGAUUUGUGGUUAAUGUACAUGUACAUGUACACAGCCCUUGAGCAAAAUUAGUGAAUAAUUUUAUAUGAGAAUAUGUUCUUACAUUUCCCCCUUUAACUCUCAUAAGCUUAAAAAUACUAGUGUGUAGAAAAAGGGCACAACAUUUUUUCAAGGUAUUUGUUCUGACAGUAGUGACCAAGAGAUUUGAAUCGUCGUCAUCAUCAUCAUCGUCGUCAUCAUCAUCAUCGUCAUCAUUGUGUCAUCUAUGUGAGGACCCAGUGAGCUAUUUUCAAUAAGAACACUUCAUUUAAAUGACUAUUUUCUACUUUGUGGAGAACUGAAGAACACUUAGUUCCUAUAAAAAAGGUAGUGGCAAUGCAGUAUAUAUUCCAUUUAUUCCCCAGACUGGAGCUAUAAAGUGACCUUGCUAGAGUUGGAUAUAGAAAGUGAACUUUUUUGGUAGUGGUGUUUCAAAAUUAAAACUCAUACUUCAUUGUCAGAAAUAUUUAGGAAAGAAAUUUAUGAGCCAUGUUGAGGAAAUUGGCAGCUACAUUAUGCACACUUAGCCACUGUAAAGUUUGUUUACAAGAUCCAGCAGAUGAAUACACUGGCUAACAAUUAGUUUCACUCUUAAUCGUGACCCUCACAAAGCUGUUCUCAGCCGGAAGGCAGCGGUGCGUUGCUUCCCCCAUGACGGAGUGCUCGGCUUUAAGCUGAGUUGGCAUGUUGCAGGUCUGGAGUGGCGGCAGCUCUUCACAGAAGCAUCACAAUGAUGCAGAUCAGCAGCAGACAUAUCAAGAUGAGGCAGAAAUUGAUAAAUAGGUUCUGGAGAUUCUGACGUGCUUGCUGAGGCAUUUCAAUAGUGGAGGCUCUCCUGAUAGCCGAGCGAGUGAGGUAUUGCACUUUUUCCAUUAUGCCAGGAAGGCAAAAGUAGGGAGACAAGUUUUUCUAAGUGGUCAAGAGAAAGAUAAAAAGUUGACAACAGGCAGCCAAAUGUGAGCUUCAAUGAUCUCACGUCUUACCUUGGCUUCGGUGAUCGUCACAGUGCAGAGCAUGAAGCUGUAU
rnacentral:lncRNA from 1 species